rnacentral:lncRNA from 1 species
CACAAUUCAAUCCAAAGGGUUGUGCAGUGAAGCAGUAGCUCAGGUUACCUACCAAGAAACCAGAGACAGUUCUCAGUGAACUCUUCUUAAAAAGAUGGAAAGCAGAGUUCUUUUGAAAGACAGUCACAGCCACUCUAUUGGGAUGGCACACCAUACCAUGAUCCUGGGAAGCUCUACAGAGCUCAAGAAAUGCUUCUCUAGAAAUACAGUUGCAACAAUACAAACGCUGACAAUGUACUCUACCAUUUCAUUCAAACAUGCAAUGCUAAAUAGUCUACUGCUUCAGGGGUCAUUUUUCUCCCUUUCUGUGUUCCCCCAAGAUGAAUAUCAGCAGCAGCAAGGAAACAGAGCCCAAGCACAGAAAUAGACAGCGCAUCUUUGUGAGGUAAGCAAGGAUUUACUGUUGUUUUAAAGUCAGAGAUGGACAGGUAUCCACUUCACCAUGAAAACUUGAGUUAGCUAAGCCUAGUCAUUCCCACUCCAGUGCAGAUAUUCUUAGGCAUCCCAAUUCUCCCCCACAACGCAGAGCAAUCACACCUGCAGCAGAUACAGUCUUCCCGGAAAGCCAUCACAAGCCACUCAUUCUUCUACAAAAGGGAUGCAUCUUCACCCACUUUCCGCUCCACAGAAGUAAGGUUAGUCACCAGUAUUUUGGGG